rnacentral:antisense_RNA from 1 species
AGAGGCCUCGCGAGGCAGGGCUAGAAGCUGUGGCCUCACCCUUGAGGCCCGGGCACUUCCCGUCUCCUCCCUUGCUCCCCUUCCUCACCCCAAUCCCUACAGCCUCCCGCGCAGCCUGAGCUCUAGGAUUGUGGGUUUUCCAUCCUCCGAAGACAUCACCUUUGCUCAUCUCCCAGGAGAGUCUCAUCCAAAGGAGGGGGGUGCUUUCUGCUUCAGCAGAUCCCAUCCCACCCUGGGAUCCGAGGGAGCAAUGGUGGGGCGAGUGAGGGUCUGCCGUAAAUAUCCCCCGACCACCCUCUGGGAAGGUGCUAGAGGCCACAGGCAAAUUUCAGUCUCCCCAUGGAAUAUCUGCUGUGCUGCUGCUGCUGCUGCUGCUGAACUCUUAGGGUCACCUGGAGCACCUUGGGAGCCAGAGAUGCAGCCAAAGAGUGAACAAUGGUACCAAUCCCAAGACCCAUGUGUUAAGAAGAAACCAGCCAAGACUCAGAUCAGGAUUGGGGAGUCCACCCCUCGUUUCCCUUCAGAGCAUUAUUUCCUUGUUUGCUAAGUGGGGCAGGAACUGGAAAACCCAGGCUAGCCCAUCUGAGAAGACUUUCCUGGAGAUGAGCUGGAGGAGGGAGGAGUAAGGCCUUGGAAGGAAACUCCAGGACAGCACCACCUCCCCUACACUGGGACCUCGUCUCUAACGGGCAGAGUGGUCAAUGAAAAAAAGGGCAUGCCUUGGCACAUCAUGGUCAAACUGCUAAAAGCCAAAGACAAAGAGAAAAUCUUUUCUUUUUUUUAAUCCCAUCCUAAAGAAUAGACAGAACAAUAUUUUCAAUGUCACUCUUUUCUCAUCAAAACCAAUAUAGACCAGAAGACAGUGGAAUAUCUCUAAAAUGCUGAAGGAAAAAAAAAGUCAACUCAGAAUUGUUUUUCCAGUGAAAGUAUUCUUCCAGAAUGAAGAUGAAAUAAAGCUAUUUUCAGAUAAAAGAAAACAGAGAUUCUUGUCGCCAGCAGACCUCCACUAUGAGAAGCGCUAAAGAAAGUUCUUUAGGACGGGCACGAUAGCUCACGCCUAUAAUCCCAGCAUUUUGGGAGGCCAAGGUGGGAGGAUUGCUUGAGCUCGGAAGAUGGAGGCUGCAGUGAGCCAUGAUGGUGCCACUGCACUCCAGCUUGGAUGACAGAGUGAGACGCUGUCUCAAAUUGGAAGAGCAGAGCUGCAGACAGGAAUAAGAAGAACGGUAAAUUUGAAGAUGGGACCGUCUAGUUGCAAGAAAACAAGCUCAGGGCUCCCACUGAUUCUACAUUACGGGCUGUGGGUUCCUUGAGGGAGGAAUUUUGUCCUGCAGGCUGUGGCAGCCCUAGGACUCAGCACAUCUAGGUGUCCACCUGCGUCUGUGGAAGAAGAAGAAGAGGAGGAGGAGGAGGAGGAAGAAGAAAGAUGGUGAGAUAUCCUGCAGGAGACCAGCCAGGACGGUGGAGGCCUCUCAAGAAGAGGGAAGCAUGAGGAAGCUCCAGGGCAGGAUGGUUUACCUGCCUGGACAGCAAGGUGAUGGCUACACUAGCCCCCAUUCUCUGGGCGCCUGGAUUUGCCCACCAGAUCUCCUCACCUCUUGCCCUUCACCUCCUGCUGUACCUACAAGGUCUCCCCGAUUCUCAUCUGCCCAUAAUCAUGGACACAGCCCCAGGAUGUGCAGGGUGAGUCCCCAGGGACCCUGACAGCAUGGGUACUCUUAUGACUGAGGGCGUUACACCAGGGAGAGGGAGCCGGGGAGACUUCCCAGAGAGCUGGUUGGGGGUUAUGAAAGUGGCCUCACGGCUGAUGUGGUGGCUCACACCUGUAAUCCCAGCACUUUGGGAGGCUGAGGCGGGCAGAUUGCUUGAGGUCAGGAGUUCGAGAUCAGCCUGGCGAACAUGGUGAAACCCAGUCUUUACUAAAAAUACAAAAAAAUUACGUGGGCCUGGUGGCACGUGCCUGUAGUCCCGGCUACUCAGGAGGCUGAGGCACGAGAAUCACUUGAACCUGGGAGGCGGAGGCUGCAGUGAGCCGAGAUUGCACCACUGCACUCCAGCCUGGGCGGCAGAGCAAGAUUCUGUCUC